UCCAGAUCUUGCUACCAAGCAUGUCCGAGUGAACUCCGUAAAUCCUGGAACUAUAGAAACAAACACGUUCUCAACAGUUGGAGCAGACGUAAAGGAAGUCAUGGAAGAGCAGACCAAACACAGCCGUUAGAGGUCGCCAGUGCAAUCGCUUUUCUCGCUUCUGACGAGGCUUUGUUUAUAACUGGAGAAACUUUGGUGAUAGAUGGCGCUAGAACCGUCUCUUGCUAAGAUGUCUUAUUUGUUUUUGCAAUAAUAAACUUUUUACAGAAAAUAAAACAUUAGUUGCUGAUUG